rnacentral:lncRNA from 1 species
AAAUGUAGACCUUGCAACUUUUACCUUCGGUUCAUUCAAUCUUAAGAACAAUUUUGAUUUCCAGAAAGUCUACUUUUCUUUGAUUUCGCUUAUGUUAAUGGUUGAUAUUUCUAAUGAAAAUAGUAGAUGUGUCUUAUGUUAAAUGUAGACUUUGCAUCUUUUAUCUUGGGUUGAUUCAAUCUCAAGAACAAUUUUGAUUUUCAACUUAUGUCUAUUUUUCUUUGAUUUCUCUUAUGUUACUAGUAGACAUUUCUUAUGAAAAAAGUAAUUGUGUCUUAUGUUAAAUGUAGACUUUGCAUCUUUUACCUUGGGUUGCUUCAAUCUCAAGAACAAUUUUGAUUUCCAGAAAGUCUACUUUUCUCUGAUUUCUCUUAUGUUACUAGUAGACAGUUCUUUUGAAAAAAGUAGUUGUGUCUUAUGGUAAAUGUAGACUUUAUAUCUUUUACCUUGGGUUGUUUUAAUCUUAAGAACAAUUUUGAUUUCCAAAAAAUCUACUUUUCUUUGAUUUCGUUUAUGUUAAUGAUAGAGAUUUCUAAUGAAAAUAAUAGAUGUCACUACCAGGACAAGCACUUUAGCCGACGAAAAAUUUUCGUCGGCCUGUUAGCUUAAUUCGUCGGCUAAGAUCUUAGCCGACGAGCCAUCGUCGGCUAAGAUUUCGUCGGGAAAAGGUCGUCUGUGAUGAGUUUAGCCGACGAAAUUUUUUUUUAGUCGGCUAAAGUCCCGCGUUUAGCCGACUAAAAACAUGUCGUCGGUUUUUUUCCCCAGACUAUAGCCGAUGAAAUAUAAUCUAUUUCGUCGGCUAAACCUUAUAAAAAAUUUUAAAAAAAUAACUAUAGCCAAAGAAAUAUAGUCUGUUUCGUCGGCUAAACUUUAUAAAAAAAUUUUAAAAAUAACUAUAGCCGACGAAAUAUGCCAUAAUUCGUCGGCUAAACCUUAUAAAAAAAUUUAAAAAUACUAUAGCCGACGAAUAAACCUUUAAAUAUCGUCGGCUAA